ensembl:lncRNA
UGGCAGCCCCCGCCCUCGCCCUCCGCCCCUCGACACAGACUCAAAGGUAGAGGAUGGAGUCCAGCCCCUCCCCUACAGCUCCCCCCUGAAUCUAGAGGCGAGAGUGGUCCCACCGCUGUCAAGUCACUCCUCCCUGAGGCCAGUUUUCCCCACGAAGUUCACCAAGGGGCUUAGCUGGAUGAGAACAAGAAGAGCUCUAUAGAUUUUCAAGGUGCUAAGAAGAAAGCUUCUAGACAUAUUUCAAAUGUCAAGUUUCUGAGACUUCAAUAAGAAAGUUGCAGUGGAAGGAAAUUUGGGCCAAAGGACUGGUGUCCCGUUUAUGAACUUCAGACGGAGUGACUUGGGAAAUUAUUCUAACCUCGCUGAGCCUCAGCUUACUCAUCUGAGAAAUGGAGAAGAGGGCCCCAGCCCAUUUUAGUCACAGGGGCUGUGGCUGCCACCAAGUGACAUCAUGAAAUGGAAAGGUUACUCAUUUGCAGACACUCGCCUCAGCCCUAUAGGCUGACUACAAGCUGCAGCGAACAAUCGUUGUGGAAAACAGCAAGUUCAGGCUGUUUGGAUGAAUAAGUGGGAGGUCAGCCCUCUGGGGAAAUGCAGCAUCUCCACACACAACUCCAGUGCCAGGUAGAGUCCGAGGAUCCUGUCAACUGAUAGAACAACCGCAGUUCAACCAAUAGCUGACAAUGCAUCAAUCUGUCCGAGCCUCCGAGAUUCACCAUGCCUGGAAACUAUAUAUUGAUUAAAAUGAAAUAUGCACGUCAUUAGUUAGAUCCCGAGAAUCUGUAAUGAUCUGCUUGUCUCUUCCCUCUCCCCGCCUCUAACAUUGUUCCUGCGACCUGGGUCAGCUGCCGGGAAACCCGGACUCUGAUGUUACCACCUCCCCCCGUGCAGGGCACCGUGCUCUUAUUUAUUACUUUCAUUUCAUGCAUCGGCUGUGCCUCCUCCCUUGUGCUCACCUCUGCUGUGGUCUUGGCUCUAGUCCAGACUUGGCUCUGGACCCAGCCUCUCUCAUCUGCCUUUUCCAGAAUCAGAUCUAUGGAUGUGGGGCCAGCUGGGGGUCAGCUGCGCUGAGGGAGAGGACGAGAGACCCUAUGAUACCCCACGUCCACGCCACCCUUCUUCGUAGACAGGGUUUCGGCCAGCCUGAGCCCUGUAGUGAAGCCGAUUGUCCAGAUCCUUCCAGAAGAAAUGCUCAUAAGGAAAUGUCUGGAAAAACCUCAAGCAAAUAAAACUCCAUCACUCCUCAGGUGCUGGGCUCUGCUGGCCUCAGAUCUGAAACCAUCCCCCUUCAAGGUGGGGACCUGUGAUUUGUACUUGACUCUUCAGGUUGUGGAAGGCUGGCCAAGCAGGCCCACUGAUUCCAGGGUCUCUCCUGGAUUUUCAAACUCCAGUCCCCUCUAGCAGCACAGAGGAAAGAGGCCUUCCCUCACCAUGCCUGCUUCUCCCUCGUGGUGCCCAUAACCUGCCAUUUUUUCUUCUAUGAGGAGCAGUAAAGAGAUUAAUCUCAGGAGUUCCCGUCACGGCUCAGUGAUUAACGAAUCCGACUAGGAACCAUGAGGUUGCAGGUUUGAUCCCUGGCCUUGCUCAGUGGAUUAAGGAUCCAGUGUUGCCAUGAGCUGUGGUGUAGGUUGCAGAGGCGUCUCGGAUCUGGUAUUGCUGUGGUGUAGGCCAGCGGCUACAGCUCCAAUUAGACCCCCAGCCUGGGAACCUCCACAUGCAUCAGGAGCGGCCUAAGAAAUGGCAAAAAGACAAAAAAAAAAAAGAUGAAUCUCAGCUCUACUGGCUAUUCACUGCAUGCCUUUGGUAAGUUACUGCACCUUCUUGUGCCCCGUUUCCUCAUCCA